UGCAGAAGAAGCACCGGCUAACUCCGUGCCAGCAGCCGCGGUAAUACGGAGGGGUGCGAGCGUUAAUCGGAAUUACUGGGUCGUAAAAGCGCAUGCAGGUGGUUUGUUAAGUCAGAUGUGAAAGCCCGGGGCUCAACCUCGGAAUUGCAUUUGAAACUGGCAGACUAGAGUACUGUAGAGGGGGGUAGAAUUUCAGGUGUAGCGGUGAAAUGCGUAGAGAUCUGAAGGAAUACCGGUGGCGAAGGCGGCCCCCUCGGACAGAUACUGACACUCAGAUGCGAAAGCGUGGGGAGCAAACAGGAUUAGAUACCCUGGUAG
rnacentral:rRNA from 1 species